rnacentral:rRNA from 1 species
UAGGGAAUCUUCCACAAUGGACGCAAGUCUGAUGGAGCAACGCCGCGUGAGUGAAGAAGGUUUUCGGAUCGUAAAGCUCUGUUGUUGGUGAAGAAGGAUAGAGGCAGUAACCGGUCUUUAUUUGACGGUAAUCAACCAGAAAGUCACGGCUAACUACGUGCCAGCAGCCGCGGUAAUACGUAGGUGGCAAGCGUUGUCCGGAUUUAUUGGGCGUAAAGCGAGCGCAGGCGGAAUGAUAAGUCNGAUGUGAAAGCCCACGGCUCACCGUGGAACUGCAUCGGAAACUGUCAUUCUUGAGUGCAGGAGAGGAGAGUGGAACUCCAUGUGUAGCGGUGGAAUGCGUAGAUAUAUGGAAGAACACCAGUGGCGAAGGCGGCUCUCUGGUCUGCAACUGACGCUGAGGCUCGAAAGCAUGGGUAGCGAACAGGAUUAGAUACCCUGGUAGUCCAUGCCGUAAACGAUGAGCGCUAGGUGUU